rnacentral:rRNA from 1 species
UACGUAGGGCGCAAGCGUUGUCCGGAAUUAUUGGGCGUAAAGAGCUCGUAGGCGGUUUGUCGCGUCUGCUGUGAAAACCUGAGGCUCAACCUCGGGCUUGCAGUGGGUACGGGCAGACUAGAGUGCGGUAGGGGUGACUGGAAUUCCUGGUGUAGCGGCGGAAUGCGCAGAUAUCAGGAGGAACACCGAUGGCGAAGGCAGGUCACUGGGCCGCAACUGACGCUGGAGGAGCGAAAGCAUGGGGAGCGAACAGG